GGGGAGUGUCGCUGCACAGCUAUUUGCAGGUCUCUCCAGAGAUAUUCGAUCUGGUUCAAGUCCGGGCUCUGGCUGGGCCACUCAAGGACAUUCAGAGACUUGUAUUGAAGCAACUCCUGCGUUGUUUUGACUGUGUAUUUAGGGUUGUUGUCCUGUUGGAAGGUGAACCUUCGCCCCAGUCAGGUCCUGAGCGAUCUGGAGCAGGUUUUCAUCAAGGAUCUCUCUGUACUUUGCUCCGUUCAUCUUUCUCUUGAUCUUGACUAGUCACCCAGUGCCUGCCACUGAAAAACAUCCCCACAGCACAAUGCUGCCACCACCAUGCUUCACCGUAGGGAUGGUGCCAAGUUUCCUCCAGACGUGACGCUUGGCAUUCAGGCCAAGGAAUUCAAACUUGGUUUCAUCAGACCAGAGAAUCUUGUUUCUCCUGGUCUGAGAGUCCUUUAGGUGCCUUUUGGCAAACUCCAAGCGGGCUAUCAUUUGCCUUUUACUGAGGAGUGGCUUUCGUCUGGCCACUACCAUAAAGGCCUGAUUGGUGGAGCGCAGCAGAGAUGGUUGCCCUUCUGGAAGGUUCUCCCAUCUUCACAGAGGAACUCUGGAGCUCUGUCAGAGUGACCAUUGGGUUCUUGGUCAUCUCCCUGACCAAGGCCCUUCUCCCCCGAUUGCUCAGUUUGGCCGGGCGGCCAACUCUAGGAAGAGUCUUGAUGGUUCCAAACUUCUUCCAUUUAAGAAUGAUGGAGGCCACUGUGUUCUUCGGGACCUUCAAUGCUGCAAACAUUUUUUGGUACCCUUCCCCAGACACAAUCCUGUCUCUGAGCUCUACGGACAAUUCCUUCGACCUCAUGGCUUGGUAUUUGCUCUGACAUGCACAGGCAACUGUGGGACCUUUUAUAGACAGGUGUUUGUCUUUCCAAAUCAUGUCCAAUCAAUUGAAUUUACUACAGGUGGACUCCAAUCAAGUUGUAGAAACAUCAAGGAUGAUCAAUGGAGACAGGAUGCACCUGAGUUAAAUUUCGAGUCUCAUAGCAAAGAGUCUGAAUACUUGUAAAUAAGGUAUCUGUUUUUUAUUUUUAAUACAUUUGCAAACAUUUCAAAAAACUGUUUUUGCUUUGUCAUUAUGGGGUAUUGUGUGUAGAUUGAUGAGAAAAAAUGUAAUCCCUUUUAGAAUAAGGCUGUAACGUAACAAAAUGUGGAAAAAGUCAAGGGGUGUGAAUGCACUGUAUAUUUAGAAAUUAAACUUUAUUUGUCACAUGCGCCGAAUACAACAAGUGUAGACCUUACCGUGAAAUGCUUACUUACAAGCCCUUAACCAACAGUGCAGUUCAGGAAGAGUUAAGAAAAUAUUUACGAAAUAAACAAAAAUAAAUAGAAAAUUAGCACAAUAACGAGGCUAUAUACAGGGGGUACCGGUACCGAGUCAGUGUACGUGGGUACAGGUUAGUUGAGGUAAUUUGUACAUGUAGGUAGGGGUGAAGUGACUAUGCAUAGAUAAUAAACCACGAGUAGCAGCAGUGUACAAAACAAAUGGAGGGGGGGGGGGGGGGGUCAAUGUAAUAGUCCGGUGGCCAUUUGAUUAUUUGUUCAGCAGUCUUAUGGCUUGGGGGUAGAAGCUGUUAAGGAGCCUUUUGGUCCUAGACUUGGCGCUCCGGGACCGCUUGUCGUGCGGUAGUAGUCUAUAACUUGGGUGACUGGGGUCUCUGACAAUUUUAUGGGUUUUCCUCUGACACCGCCUAUUAUAUAGGUCCUGGAAUGCAGGAAGCUUGGCCCCAGUGAUGUACUGGGCCGUACGCACUUAGCAUGGCAUUUAGACAAUUAAUAUAAUGCAGCUUUGAAUGUUUACCCUUCUCUCGAAAGUGAAUAGUUUAUACGUUUGGAAUUUUACAGAGAGCUUCUCCUGCUCUGACCAAUGAAUGCUAAAUGAUUGCAGUCCUUUAUGAAAUUACCAUGUUCAUGUAAACAUGACCAAAUAGAGUGGUGAGGAGAAGCUCAGUGGACCCUUUGUGUCCAGAAGUAAUUUAGCCAUUUAUUGUAGUCAUUGCGAUCUGUCGAGUUUAAUAAAGUCCAGAUAACCCUACGUCAAUGAUGCCGGUGGAUCUCAAAACUGAACUUGGAUCCGCAUUAAGUAGCAAUGAUAUCCUUCGCCACCUCCAUUUUACGGCAGAUAUAUUGUGAGAGCUCCAAUCGGGUUUAUUUGCUUGGCACUGUCUCAGGAUAUCAGCCAUGUGAACCCAUUCUGCAGCUUAUCAUAAUGGCAUGCAUUACCAAUACAGCCAUAGACCUACAAUAUGAUGGCAUUACUGGCCUAAUGGGCAUAUGCAAUCAAUGUGCACCUGUAAGUGUUGUUACAUAGAUGCUGUGUUCACGAUGCAUGAUUAAUUCAUAAUUCAUGGUUUAUUUGAUGUAGUAAAUAAAUAAAUUAUUUAGUGAUGUAUAGAUAAGAAUUUAAAUGUGAUGUAACAGGUAAAUUAACGUUAGGCCAUUGUUUGUGUUUUUAUGUUCCAUCCCGGAACUAACGUUCUCUGUUGUGUUACUGCUACGGAAUUUGUUAAUUGACUGUGUGCAAUCUAACUUAAGCAGAUCUUAGACUAGUCUGAGUCAUAAUUGUUGAUGGCAGAGGCUAAGAAAGACAGUAAAGGGACUUUCAAGGGACUUCAAGGAUUCAAUAACGUUUUUUUCAGGACAAGCAGCCAACGAGUUCUCACGGCGUGACGUGGAUGCAUCGGAGAAAAAGACGUGCAAGGGAAUAAACGCCCGUUUCAAGGAACCAACCUGUGUCUUGUCGUGAAGAGAGCUACAUGCCCCUUGUCAUUGUACAUCUGAAGCAGAGAAUAGCUGAACUCACAAAUCAUCUCCAUAUUGUUGAGAUAGCUAUAUGUUCUCAAUUGUAAAUGCCAAGAGUGUGCAAAUCUGUCAUCAAGGCAAAUGGUGGCUACUUUGAAGAAUCUCAAAUAUAAAAUAUAUUUAGAUUUGUUUAACACUUUGAUUACUACAUGAUUCCAUACGUGUUAUUUCAUAGUUUGUCUUCACUAUUAUUCUACAAUGUAGAAAAAUAGUAAAAAUAAAGAAAAAAAACUUGAAUGAGUAUGUGUGUCCAAACUCUUGACUGGUACUGUGUAUAUAUACAUAUAUAUACACCCACACACACAGUGGCAAGAAAAAGUAUGUGAACCCUUUUGGAAUUACCUGGAUUUCUGCAUAAAUUGGUCAUAAAAUUUGACCUGAUCUUCAUCUAAGUCACAACAAUAGACAAGCAGUCUGCUUAAACUAAUAACACACAAUGUGUUUUCAUGUCUUUAUUGAACACACCGUGUAAACAUUCACUGUAGGGUGGAAAAAGUAUGUGAACCCUUGGAUUUAAUAACUGGUUGACCCUCCUUUGGCAGCAAUAACCUCAACCAAAUGUUUUCUGUAGUUGCGGAUCAGACAUGCACAGCGGUCAGGAGGAAUUUUGGACCAUUCAUCUUUACAGAACUGUUUCAGUUCAGCAAUAUUCUUAGGAUGUCUGGUGUGAAUUGCUCGAGGUCAUACCACAGCAUUUUAAAUUGGGAUGAGGUCAGGACUCUGACUGGGCCUCUCCAGAAGGUGUAUUUUCUUCUGUUGAAGCCAUUCUGUUGUUGAUUUACUUCUGUGUUUUGGGUCGUGGUCCUGUUGCAUCACCCAACUUCUGUUGAGCUUCAAUUGGCGGACAGAUAGCCUUACCUUCUCCUACAAAAUGUCUUGAUAAACUUGGGAAUUCAUUUUCCGUCCAUGAUAGCAAGCUGUCCAGGCCCUGAGGCAGCAAAGCAGCCCCAAACCAAAAUGCUCCCUCCACCAUACUUUACAGUUGGGAUUAGCAUGUUCCAGAGAUUUCUGUAAGUCUUUAGCUGACACUCUAGGAAUCUUCUUAACCUCAUUGAGCAUUCUGCACUGUGCUCUUG
rnacentral:lncRNA from 1 species